AAUAUAUAUGAUGAUUUUUAUAUCGCCCCAGUCUGAAGUAAUGUGUAGAUCGAUUUUUCUGAUAUG
rnacentral:snoRNA from 1 species